GACGAACGCUGGCGGCGUGCCUAAUACAUGCAAGUCGAACGCAGUGGGGACGGGUGAGUAACACGUGGUUAACCUCCCCAUCAGAGGGGAUAACACUUGGAAACAGGUCCUAAACCGAUACUGAUGGAUGGACCCCGGGUGCAUUGGCUAGUUGGUGGGGUAACGGCUCACCAAGGCCACGAUGCAUAGCCGACCUGAGAGGGUGAUCGGCCACAAUGGGACGGAGACACGGCCCAGACUCCUACGGGGGGCAGCAGUAGGGAAUCUUCGGCAAUGGACGAAAGUCUGACCGAGCCACGCCGCGUGAGUGAAGAAGGUUUUCGGAUCGUAAACCUCUGUGGUUAGAGAAGCGGUAUCUAACCAGAAAGCCACGGCUAACUACGUGCCAGCAGCCGCGGUAAUAC
rnacentral:rRNA from 1 species